rnacentral:rRNA from 1 species
CGUAGGUGGCGAGCGUUAUCCGGAAUUAUUGGGCGUAAAGAGUGCGCAGGCGGUUUGAUAAGUCUAAAAUAAAAGCCCGAAGCUUAACUUCGGUUCGUUUUAGAAACUGUCAGACUAGAGUGUGGUAGAGGCAAAUGGAAUUUCUAGUGUAGCGGUAAAAUGCGUAGAUAUUAGAAGGAACACCAGUGGCGAAGGCGAUUUGCUGGGCCACAACUGACGCUCAUGCACGAAAGCGUGGGGAGCAA